GAUGCUUCUCAGAUCCCUAAACUUAUAUCAUGUGUAGUAUUUGUUCUUUGCGGUGUGAUUACUGCAACGAUCUCUAAACUGAGACCAAUGCAAUUACCUGUAUUUUACGCUUAUAAGCGGAUGCUAGGAGUUGCUCAACCCCGUCUAUGAGUCAGCAUCUUACUGCAUGUGAGUUCCUUUGAUUUAUAUCAU
rnacentral:snRNA from 1 species